AUAAGGAGUCGAACCUGCCCAGUGAAAUAAUUUCAACGGCCGCGGUACUCUGACCGUGCGAAGGUAGCAUAAUCAUUUGCCCUAUAAUUGAGGGCUUGUAUGAAUGGUUUGACAAGAAUAAAGCUGUCUCUUUACAAUUUUAUAGAAUUUUAUUUUUAGGUGAAGAAGCCUAAAUAUAAUUAAAAGACAAGAAGACCCUAUCGAGCUUUAAAAAACCAUUAGAUUCUCAAUAAUUAAUAAAAAAUAAUAACUAUUGAACAUUUUAGUUGGGGCGACUAAGGAACAAACAAAGCUUCCUUUUUAACAAUUAGAUUCAUUGGUCUUGAUCCAAAAAUUUUUGAUUAAAAAAAUUAGUUACCGUAGGGAUAACAGCAUUAUCUUUUUUAAGAGCUCAUAUCGAAAAAAAGGUUUGUGACCUCGAUGUUGGACCAGAAUAUCCUAAAGAUGCAGCAGUCUUUAAAGGUUGGUCUGUUCGACCAUUAAAAUUCUA
rnacentral:rRNA from 1 species